rnacentral:misc_RNA from 1 species
GGAAGUAAGAGUCGUAACAAGGUCUCCGUAGGUGAACCUGCGGAGGGAUCAUUACAGAGUUCAUGCCCUCCGGGUAGAUCUCCCACCCAUUGCUAUAACUACUCUCGUUGCUUUGGCGGGCCGCUGGGCCCUGCCCGGCCGCCGGCCCCGGCUGGCGCGUGCCCGCCAGAGACCUCACAAACUCUGAAUGUUAGUGUCGUCCGAGUAACUAUACAAUCGUUAAAACUUUCAACAACGGAUCUCUUGGUUCUG